rnacentral:rRNA from 1 species
AGAUUGAACGCUGGCGGCAGGCCUAACACAUGCAAGUCGAGCGGUAGAGAGGUGCUUGCACCUCUUGAGAGCGGCGGACGGGUGAGUAAUGCCUAGGAAUCUGCCUAGUGGUGGGGGAUAACGUUCGGAAACGGACGCUAAUACCGCAUACGUCCUACGGGAGAAAGCGGGGGACCUUCGGGCCUCGCGCCAUUAGAUGAGCCUAGGUCGGAUUAGCUAGUUGGUGAGGUAAUGGCUCACCAAGGCGACGAUCCGUAACUGGUCUGGAGAGGAUGAUCAGUCACACUGGAACUGAGACACGGUCAGACUCCUACGGGAGGCAGCGAGGUGGGAAUAGUUGGACAAGUGGGACGAAAGCCUAGACUCC